rnacentral:rRNA from 1 species
UACACUCCUACGGGAGGCAGCAGUGGGGAAUAUUGGACAAUGGGCGCAAGCCUGAUCCAGCCAUGCCGCGUGAGUGAUGAAGGCCCUAGGGUUGUAAAGCUCUUUCACCGGUGAAGAUAAUGACGGUAACCGGAGAAGAAGCCCCGGCUAACUUCGUGCCAGCAGCCGCGGUAAUACGAAGGGGGCUAGCGUUGUUCGGAUUUACUGGGCGUAAAGCGCACGUAGGCGGACUAUUAAGUCAGGGGUGAAAUCCCGGGGCUCAACCCCGGAACUGCCUUUGCUACUGGUAGUCUUGAGUUCGAGAGAGGUGAGUGGAAUUCCGAGUGUAGAGGUGAAAUUCGUAGAUAUUCGGAGGAACACCAGUGGCGAAGGCGGCUCACUGGCUCGAUACUGACGCUGAGGUGCGAAAGCGUGGGGAGCAAACAGGAUUAGAAACCCGGGUAGUCCCAUG